GGUUGUGGCUCAGUGGUAGAGUACUUGCCUGGCAUGUGAAAGGAACUGGGUUCGAUCCUUAGCACCA
rnacentral:tRNA from 1 species